GCCUUCGUGGUAUAAUGGUCAGCACACUCGGCGCGUAUUGGAGAGGUCCAAGGUUCAAAUCCUGGCUAGGGCA
rnacentral:tRNA from 1 species